GAAUAUAUGAGGAUCCUGGAGCUAUACUUAAACACAUCAAAUCAUUACCUUAAGUUCAUUUCUAUUUGAUUUUUGUCUUCAUAAUUUAUGUCAAGUUUCUGAGAUUUUGCUUUAUUUAGUGGCAGAUUGAAGUUCAAAUGUUUUUAUCAAUUACCUUUUACAAGCCUUUUUGGCUGGUAUGUUUGAGCUCGUUCCAGGUUCAUUUUUUGCGAUAACUGACACCGACGGUGCCCCUGUUUCGGGAGUCAGACUUUUUGAAGGGUUGGAAUGCCCCACCUAAGAUUGCAUGCAUGGGUGCAUGUGCGUGUGUGUUUGUGUGUUGGCAUAACUAAGUAGCUGUUGUGUAUAUGUUCAUAUUGUUUACCUUUUGUUCAGAUUUUUUUAAUUUCUUGAAAUGCGCUUAUGUUCAAUCUUUGAGGUUGUCUUGUGUACAAUUUUUUUGUUCAGAUUUUGUGUGCUAGGGGGAAUGACAUGCUGAAUUACUAACUAGUAGUAGAAAUUCUCUUCUAGCUAGUGGCAUGAUUUUAGUUUCUUCUAUGUCAUACUUUGUCACACCCCUCUGUUUUCUAAAACUUGUUUUUCAAUACUAAUGUAUUGUAUACAUUUAUGAAUACACACGGGCACUGACAUGGAUGACGAAGCAAGCGACCCUAAGAGCGACAAAAAUGCAAAAGGAAAAGAGCUAUGUCUUGAAGAUCCAGAGUUAGAAGAGAGAGGAUAUCAUGCAGAAAUCACUUACACGGAAGCGUCAGAGGAUUUCCUUUUUGAAGAAGUUGCUACACUAGUUUAUAACAUUUUUCUAUAUACAUUCAAUUUUUCUGAGUUUUAUCAAGUUGAUACAGAAAGUUAACUAGGUAACACAGCAAUUUUUUGUUAACACAUUACUUUUUUGGUAACCCUUGAAGAUCCAGUAUUCAAGUGUCUCCAUACUCUUUGCUGAAGUUUAUGAACUAGCCAAUACAUGAUUUUUGUUAACUAAGCUACUUAAUAUAGGGAAGUUAACCAGCCGUGUAUCACCAUGUCUAUCUAUUCUUUUCUUGAAACUAGGAAGAGGGCAUGUACAAGUUGCUAGUAAACUUAGUACUGAAAAACAUCCAAAGUUGCUCUGAUCAACUCCACGAACAAUGGAUAGCAUGGUUCAGAUGAGUAGAGGAGCAAACAGUUUUCUGUCUUUCUCUAUCGGUUGGGCCUGACUGUAACUGAUCUUUUUGUUCAAUAAAUUUUUUGGUUGUUCUGUAUUGUUUUUUGGGGCUUCUUUUUUUACAUUUACUACAGAGACUCAAGGGGGAGCAACCACCCGUGGUCAACAAGAGGAGGGGAACUCGCAAUUACUGUCACUCCACUUCGUCUCUCUCCAUUCCCCUCUCUCGAAUCCAAAGAACUCCAUAGAGGGAAAAGAGUCUCCGAGCUGCAGGAUUUCUUUGGAUGGAUAGAUUGGCGUGCUACUGCACUCCCAGCAAGAGAGGAUGAGCGACGCUGCUGGUGGAGUAAGUUAUCCCUAACUUGUUUGUUAUUUUUCGUUGGCGCUAUACCAUAGAUCUGAAGAGGGGGAUUGUUUAUGUGGGUUCCGAUUUGUUUGGAUCAAGUACUGAUUAGUAGUUUGAAGCAGAGAAUCGCCCCAGAGUUUAGCUUUUUUAUUUUGAUUUCAUUUGUGUUUGUGUUUCAAGAACGUUGUUCGAUUUUAUUGGUAUGUAGGUAUGCAGGCAUUCAUAUAAUGUAGAUUCAAUUUUUUUAUGGAUAGAUGUUGAAUACAGUUUUUUAGUGGCACUCUAAAUGUUUCUUUGUUUUGCUUUUGGUUUUUACACUGUAGAUUGUGUGAGGUGGGCAUGAUUACCGAACCCAUUUUUGUUACUAGCAGUAUGAUAUUUUACUGAACCCAUGUGACUCAGUAGAAUGUUGAAAUCAUUCUUAGGGAAAGAAGAGUACGCUUUUUACUGAACCCAUUUUACUAGCAGUGGCAUGUUGAUUGUUUGUCAUGCCCCCUUUUCAAGCAGUAUGUUGAAUAUUUUUUCAGUUUUUCACUAAACCCAUUUACUAGUUUGGUACUCUCCAGUAAAUCUUUUUUACAACUAGUAGUAGUACUAAAGUCCAGUAGCUCUAGGAGACUGACAUGAAGUUUCUCCUUGGACUGACUGGAAGUAGUACUACAGGUACUACUAAUUUUUAUGCUUGUAGGUACUUAGAGAAGUUCCUUAGGAUUUUAGCUGAGCAGGUCUGGUCUAGCAUUUGAGAAAAAGUACUACCCAGCACUGAUAAUCUUAUACUAUGACUUUGUGACACUUAGUAAAACAGGUGCAAUUUCUUUGUAGGAUAAAAAAAUAAACAAGCCAUGUUAAACCAUGGAGAUACAAGUUUUUAUUUUUUUUAGUCUUUGCUUUGCGCUAAUGUAAACAAGCACCCUACCUACACAUGUCCUGCACAGAGAUUAAACAAAGAGUGUGUUUUACCCCCUCUAUAUAGCAGGAGCAUGUGUUUAGGCUGCCUAAGUUAACCUUUUUGUUAGGAUAUAACCUCUGCUAGUCAUUCUUUUUUGACAGGUUGAUCUGUUGUUAUUUUCUGCUGAGUGUUAACACAGCAGGGAAAUUUGAUGGCACAUGCCCUUGGUAGUUUGUCACCACUGCUACAUUAGAUUAAUUAGGGGCAGCAAUAGUACUUUUUGUUGUGUAAAUAAAUGGGGUUUAGCAUCUGGUAAGCAGGGUCUUUGUUCACACAGUCAUAAAGUUGCAUGAAUAUUGAGAUAAAAAUAGCAAAAUAAAUUCUCUAGAUGUUUCGAAAUCGUUCAUUUUUUAUUAUGCUUUUCUGAAUCCCUUUUCUUACUUUUUCUGUAGUGUGUUGUUAGCUAGGUAGUCAAAGUCGGGAUUCGGACUCGGAUCGGUUUUCCUCAGACAGAGUCGAGUCGUAAGAUCGAGUCGUGGAAUCGAGGAUUCUACUAGAUUUACUCAAAUAAGAUAUUUUGUAUGCACACAAAAAAUUUAUAUGGGUUCUAUAGAGUUUUGACACUAAAUAUGGAGCAAAUAACAUACACAUCAAUGCUAGUUGUAUUCCACUUCUUUUUAUGGCUAACCUACCAUGUAGCUCGCAUGUAUGGAACAUAUAUGAGAGGGAAAUAUAUAGAACAUUUAAACCUUCAAUGCAUGAAAUUUACUAAUGUUCUUUUUAGAGUGCGUGAAUAGUUGAUCACUUGUCUAUCUGACCUACAAUGCCAAACCUUGAAGGGUCUUGCUCUCCUUCUCCAAUCAAUCUUGAAGCAUCCUCCUUUUCACGCCAAUUCCAUAUGUCGACAAGUCUGAUCCUCAAUUUCAAUCUAGGGUUUCUGAGAGAUGGAUCAAAGGUGUCUGCGGCUGAGCGUUUGCACUUGGGAGGAGAAUAAGGGUCCAUGAGAUAUAUGAAAAGGGGUUUGGAUGAUGGCAUGUUAUUUUUCUACAACUAAACAAACGGCUUAGAUAAGCUAGUAGAAUCGCAUGUAGUCCCUAGCAUAGUCGGGAUUGUAUAGUUUUGUACAGGAUUCUAUGAUUUGGAUCGUGACUCAACAUGGAUUCUACCUGAUCCGGAUUCAUAGUGGGAUUUGGAUCGACAUGCUUCCUUAGUGUCGUGAAGUCGUAGGAUUCUAGCAGUCGAAUCAGGAUUCUGACUACCUUGGUUGUUAGUGAGUUACCCAUUUCUUUAUUUUCUUCUUUUUAUGUGCACAGGAGAUGGUUUGUGGAGUCUGCUCGAGGGAAGCGGUUUCAGCAUGUUUGUAUGGCAGGACUUCAAGAACACAUAGGUAACUCAACAGUGUCUGUUUUAAUUGUUUUUGUAUCUUCCAUUUUCUUGAUCCUUUGUUUCUUUUAUUUAGUUUUUUGUCAUGAUACCACUCCUGACUUUGUUUUUUAUUUUUGUGUUCGACCCAAAUAGGUUUUGCCAUGCAAUUAAAGGAUCUGUUUCAACACAUGACUAGAGAAGAGGUGAUGUUUGUGGCAAACAAACGGAUGUACACUGUAAAGUGUCACACGGGUCGCACACAGAGCACAAUGUAUGGGAGAGGUUGGAGGACGUUUUAUGCAAACAACAAACCGGGGAAGGGUCAGCUGGUGUUGUCCUACUUGGAUGAGCCUCCCCUAGGGUAGUUGUUUUCGUGAUCCAGAUUGGCAACGGAUCUGGAGAUGAGCAGUCUAUGUAUGAGCAUGAUGCCAUAGAAGCUUCAGAUGAAGAUGAUGAAAUGGAGAAGCUUCCAGCGACGAUGAUGAAGGCAUCGUUCACACUAGGGGGCUUCAACUGAAUGAGGCUGAGGACUUGGAGCUCCAACGCCGGCUGACUCUCAAUGAUGGAUUCAUAGCUUUUCCUUUCAUUCACCGCCUCAUGAGGACAGAUGUCCAUUUGGGCAUGAUGGUAUGUAUCUCUUCUUCAUUCUUUCUUUUUUUGUAUGGAUAUGCUACAAGUAAGAAUACGAGUACCAAAUGUGAAUCUGAGCGGAAGGGAGGGGGUGUAACAUGAAUCUGAACUGAAUUUACAUUAGUGAAACUAUAAGCUUUUUUGUUGGUUUUUUAGUUUUGUAAUACUGAAGUGUAUCUUUCAGUUAUGGAUGUACAUGUUUUUCCUAUUCUAUUUUCUCCAUUUAUGUGUUUUCGUAUGCUCCAAAUAAAAAUUUGAAAAUGUUUACUUGUUUUGUUAGGUUUUCCUUUAUGUUGUUUUGAUAUGAUGCAAAUACCAAAGAAAGUCGAUAAUUGAUAAAACACUCAUAUAUGUUGCGUUGUUAUGUUGUUUUGAAUUGCAUGCCUACACACCCAGUUGCAAAUAUUCGUGAUCAAUAGUAGGCUUGAAACGGGCAUUUUUUUGUAACGGGGUGGUGGGAUUUGUAAGUGGGCGCUGAAAGAGGGGUGCGAGUUGCAUAUCCGAUACUAGACUUGCAACUGCAAGUGUCGCUCUAGUCCGCAACUGCAUGUCUCUUCCCUGACUGCAACCGCCUUUAGGUUUUUUUGUCGGAGAGGAGGGGGCAGUUGCAUGUCCAAUAGUAGUCUUGCAACUGCAAGCAUCACCGUCGACCGCAACUACAUGCCCACACAUACGACUGCAAAUGACAUAUUUUGUUUUUGUAAGGGGCAGCAGGCGAGGUGCGGGUUGCAUGUACAAUACUAGACUUGCAACUUCAAGUGUCGCCCUUGACCACAACUACAUGUCUCCUUGGCCUUGCAUUUUUUUGUUGGUGAGGGGGAGGGGCAGUUGCAUGUCCAAUAGUAGGCUUGCAACUGCAAGUGUUGCCCUCAACCGCAAGUGCAUGCCUACACACACGACUGCAACUGCAUGCCUACACACCCGACUGUAGAGGACAUUUGUUUUGUAAGUGGGUGGCGAAAGAGCAGGAAACGAAUUGCAUGUGUGAUAGUAGGCUUGAAAUUGCAAGUGUCGCCCUCGAUUUCAACUACAAGUCUCGCUCCCGACUGUAACGAGCCUUGCAUUUUUUGUUGGAGAGGGGGAGAGGGUAGUUGCAUGUCCAACAGCAGGCUUGCAACUACAAGUGUCGCCCUCGAUCGCAAUCACAUGCCCAGACAUUCGACUACAACUAAUAAUUUUGUUUUUGUAAGGGGAUGACGGGACAGGGGUGCGAGUUGCAUGUCCGAUACUAGACUUGGAACUCCAAGUGUCGCCCUUGACCGCAACUGCAUGUCUCCUCUCUGAGUGCAACUGGCCUUGCUUUUUUGUUAGAGGGGGGGCGCAGUUGCAUGUACAAUAGUAGGCUUGCAAUUGCAAGUGUCGCCCUCAACUGUAACGACAUGCCUACACACCCAAAGGCAACUGGACAUUUUUUGUUUUUGUAAGGGUGCGCUGGAAGAGGGUGUGAGUUGCAUGUUCGAUACUAGACUUGCAACUACAAGUGUCGCCCUCGACCAUGGCUGCAUGUCUCCUCUCCGACUACAACUUGCCUUUAGGCAUUUGUUGGAGGGGGCAGUUGCAUGUCCAACAAUAGGCUUGCAACUUUAAGCGUCGUUCUCGACUCCAAUUGCAUGCCCACAUACCCAGUUGCAACUGACAUUCUUUUGGUAAGGGGCGGCGAGAGAGGGGUGCGAGAUGCAUGUCUGAUACUAUACUUGCAACUAGAAGUGGUGCGCUUGACCGCAAAUGCAUGUCUCCUCCCUGCUGCAACUGGCCUUGCAUUUUUCGUCGGAGAGGGGAAGGGGCUAGUUGCAUGUCCAAUAGUAGGCUUGCAACUACAGGUGUCGCCCUCAAGUGCAAUUGCUUGCCUACACACAUGGCUACAACUGCAUGCCCACACACCCGGUUGCAACUGACAUUUGUUUUGUAAGUGGGGCGGCGGGAGAGCGGGGUGCGAGUUGCAUGUGUGAUAGUAGGCUUGCAAUUGCAAGUGUCGCCCUCGAUUGAAACUACAAGUCUCCCUCCUGACUGCAACUAGCCUUGCUUUUUUUGUCAGAGAGGCGGAGGGGGGUGUUGCAUGUACGGCAGUAGGCUUGCAACUUCAAGUGUCACCCUCGAUCGCAAUCGCAUGCCCACACAGACAAAUGCAACUAACAUUUUUUUGGUAGGGGGGAGGAGAGGGGUGCGAGCUACAUGUACAAUACUAGACUUGCAACUGCAAGUGUUGCCCUUGACCGCAACUGCAUGUCUCCUCCCUAACUUCAAGUGGCAUUGCGUUUUUUGUCGGAGAGGGGGAGGGGACAGUUGCAUGUCCAACAGUAGGCUUGCAAUUGCAAGGGUCGCCCUCAACCGCAACUGGUGCGUACACCCCAUCUGCAACUAACUUUUGUUUUUUGUAUGAGUGACGUGAAAGGGUGGGCCCAAUUGCAUGUCCAAUACUAGGGAUGCAACUACAAGUGUCGUCCCUGGCUGCAAUUGGCCUUGUGUACUUGCAAAUCCGAGGGGGGCAGUUGCAUGUCCAGUACUAGGCAUGCAACUGCGACUGUCACCCCCGACUGCAAUUGCAUAUCUUCCAACAUGGUUGCAACUAGUCUUUUGUUUUGUUGGAGGACGGGAGUUGCAUCUCCAAUACUAGGCUUGCAACUACAAGUGUCACCCUACAUGUCCGACAGUAGGCAGAGCAGGUAAGAUCUCCCCCUGCCUCCCCGCUCCUCUCCCCCACAGUGCAUCUCGCAUGCAUCAUAACAAACCCGCCGCCGUGUCUGUGAAUGCAAAUCGAGCAACUGAUCUCGCAAUUAACUUUGCGUUUUGUCGGAGGGCGGCAGGAUAGGAGUGAGAUGGGCCAGUUUUCAACACAUAUUUUUUCGCUUUUGUGGGGGAUUGGGGGCAAGUGCAAAGCGUUCAAGCACAAUUUUUUAUUUUGAAAGUGUGUCUGAUGAAAAUCCAUCCCAAACCUGAUGCAUGUAGACAUUAUUUUGGAUUUUCAAUGGCUCCAUGACAAUGUUUUAUCCCUCCUGUACAACCUAAUACUCGAGUGUCGUGACAACAAACAAACUAGGUCUGGUCAAGUCGAUAGACAAAGUAGUUUUUGACUUUUGCAUUUGAAUGGCUCCAUGAUGAUUUGUUCAGAUUUUGAUUUUCUUCAGAUUUUGGCUUGUGUGUGUGCUAUUUUUGUUUUUUAUGUGUAUUUCUAGAGUAGUGUUCAGAACCGUCAGUUAAAUUCAAUGAAUGGCACCACUCUCUCAUGAAUAUAUGAGGAUCCUGGAGCUAUACUUAAACACAUCAAAUCAUUACCUUAAGUUCAUUUCUAUUUGAUUUUUGUCUUCAGAAUUUAUGUCAAGUUUCUGAGAUUUUGCUUUAUUUAGUUGCAGAUUGAAGUUCAAAUGUUUUUAUCAGUUACCUUGUAAUCAAGCCUUUUUUUGGCUGGUAUGUUUGAGCUUGUUCCAGGUUCAUUUUUUUGCGAUAAAUGACACCGACAGUGCCCCUGUUUCGGGAGUCAAACUUUUUGAAGGGUUGGAAUGCCCCACCUAAGAUUGCGUGCGUGGGUGCCUGUGCAUGGGUGUUUGUGUGUUGGCAUAACUAAGUAGUUGUUGUGUAUAUGUUCAGAUU
rnacentral:lncRNA from 1 species